GUAAGGCUAUGUAUAUAAAUAUGUAAAACUAUACAUGCAUGUGUAUGCAUAAAACUGUUGGUACAAAUAGUCUGCAUAUGUGUAUUUGUUGAUGGUUGAAUAGUCAUGAAGGUUAAACUAUGUAUCGAAGUAUAUGUAUAUAGUGUAUACUUGUUAUGAGUGAAAAUAUGUAAGCAUCUAAGCUGUGUAGGUAACUGUGUUAGAGUGAAGGGAUU
rnacentral:lncRNA from 1 species